rnacentral:rRNA from 2 species
AGCGGCGGACGGGUGAGUAACACGUGGGCAACCUGCCCUGCAGAUCGGGAUAACUCCGGGAAACCGGUGCUAAUACCGAAUAGUUUGCGGCCUCUCAUGAGGCUGUACGGAAAGACGGUUUCGGCUGUCACUGCAGGAUGGGCCCGCGGCGCAUUAGCUAGUUGGUGAGGUAACGGCUCACCAAGGCCACGAUGCGUAGCCGACCUGAGAGGGUGAUCGGCCACACUGGGACUGAGACACGGCCCAGACUCCUACGGGAGGCAGCAGUAGGGAAUCUUCCGCAAUGGACGAAAGUCUGACGGAGCAACGCCGCGUGAGUGAAGAAGGUUUUCGGAUCGUAAAACUCUGUUGUGAGGGAAGAACAAGUACCAAUUAACUACUGGUACCUUGACGGUACCUCACCAGAAAGCCACGGCUAACUACGUGCCAGCAGCCGCGGUAAUACGUAGGUGGCAAGCGUUGUCCGGAAUUAUUGGGCGUAAAGCGCGCGCAGGCGGUCCUUUAAGUCUGAUGUGAAAGCCCACGGCUCAACCGUGGAGGGUCAUUGGAAACUGGGGGGACUUGAGUGCACAAGAGGAAAGUGGAAUUCCACGUGUAGCGGUGAAAUGCGUAGAGAUGUGCAGGAACACCAGUGGCGAACGCGACUUUCUGGGCUGUAACUGACGCUGACGCGCGGAAGUCGUGGGCGAGCAAACAUGACUACAUACCCUGGUAGUCCACGCCGUACACGAUCAGUGCUAAGUGUGAUGCGGGUUUCCGCCCCCUUAUUGCUGCCAGCUACGCGAUUAAACACUCCUUCCUCGCGGAGUACAGCGGCACGCUGAAUAUCAAACGACCUUUACGGGGGGCCGCCACAGCCGUUGCAGCAUGUAGUUGAAUUACUAGCAGCGCCGAGAAUCCAUACUAAGUCUGACAGACCUCUGACGACUAGAAACUAGCUUGCGUCGGUACAGCAUUGACGUAGUGCAUGGUAUGCUCAGCU